GACGAACGCUGGCGGCGUGCUUAACACAUGCAAGUCGAACGGAAAGGCCCUGCUUUUGUGGGGUGCUCGAGUGGCGAACGGGUGAGUAACACGUGAGUAACCUGCCCUUGACUUUGGGAUAACUUCAGGAAACUGGGGCUAAUACCGGAUAGGAGCUCCUGCUGCAUGGUGGGGGUGGGAAAGUUUCGGCGGUUGGGGAUGGACUCGCGGCUUAUCAGCUUGUUGGUGGGGUAGUGGCUUACCAAGGCUUUGACGGGUAGCCGGCCUGAGAGGGUGACCGGCCACAUUGGGACUGAGAUACGGCCCAGACUCCUACGGGAGGCAGCAGUGGGGAAUAUUGCACAAUGGGCGGAAGCCUGAUGCAGCAACGCCGCGUGCGGGAUGACGGCCUUCGGGUUGUAAACCGCUUUCGCCUGUGACGAAGCGUGAGUUACGGUAAUGGGUAAAGAAGCACCGGCUAACUACGUG
rnacentral:rRNA from 1 species